UACAGAGGGUGCAAGCGUUGUUCGGAAUUACUGGGCGUAAAGCGCGUGUAGGCGGUCCUUCAAGUCGGACGUGAAAUCCCUAGGCUUAACCUAGGAACUGCGUUCGAAACUGCUGGACUAGAGUAUCGGAGGGGAUGGUGGAAUUCCUGGUGUAGAGGUGAAAUUCGUAGAUAUCAGGAGGAACACCUGUGGCGAAGGCGACCAUCUGGAAGAUUACUGACGCUGAGACGCGAAAGCGUGGGGAGCAAACAGG
rnacentral:rRNA from 1 species